UACGUAGGGUGCGAGCGUUGUCCGGAAUUAUUGGGCGUAAAGGGCUCGUAGGCGGUCUGUUGCGUCGGGAGUGAAAACUCAGGGCUUAACCCUGAGCCUGCUUCCGAUACGGGCAGACUAGAGGUAUGCAGGGGGAGAACGGAAUUCCUGGUGUAGCGGUGAAAUGCGCAGAUAUCAGGAGGAACACCGGUGGCGAAGGCGGUUCUCUGGGCAUUACCUGACGCUGAGGCGCGAAAGCGUGGGGAGCAAACAGG
rnacentral:rRNA from 1 species